UACGGGGGGGGCAAGCGUUGUUCGGAAUUACUGGGCGUAAAGGGCUCGUAGGCGGCCAACUAAGUCAUACGUGAAAUCCCUCGGCUCAACCGUGGAACUGCUGGGUAUACUGGCGAUCUUGGGCCACUCAGGGGCGACCGGAACAAGCGGUGGAGCGGUGAAAUGCGUAGAUAUCGCUUGGAACGCCAAAGGUGAAGACAGGUCGCUGGGGGUGCGCCGACGCUGAGACGCGAAAGCCAGGGGAGCAAACGGG
rnacentral:rRNA from 1 species